rnacentral:rRNA from 1 species
GAUGAGCGCUGGCGGCGUGCCUAAUACAUGCAAGUCGAGCGAACGGACGAGAAGCUUGCUUCUCUGAUGUUAGCGGCGGACGGGUGAGUAACACGUGGAUAACCUACCUAUAAGACUGGGAUAACUUCGGGAAACCGGAGCUAAUACCGGAUGAUAUUUUGAACCGCGUGGUUCAAAAGUGAAAGACGGUCUUGCUGUCACUUAUAGAUGGAUCCGCGCUGCAUUAGCUAGUUGGUAAGGUAACGGCUUACCAAGGCAACGAUGCAUAGCCGACCUGAGAGGGUGAUCGGCCACACUGGAACUGAGACACGGUCCAGACUCCUACGGGAGGCAGCAGUAGGGAAUCUUCCGCAAUGGGCGAAAGCCUGACGGAGCAACGCCGCGUGAGUGAUGAAGGUCUUCGGAUCGUAAAACUCUGUUAUUAGGGAAGAACAUAUGUGUAAGUAACUGUGCACAUCUUGACGGUACCUAAUCAGAAAGCCACGGCUAACUACGUG